GCCUAUAUACCACCGUCGUCAGCUUACCCUGUGAAGGACGAAUAGUAAGCACAAUUGGCACAGCCCAAUACGUCAGGUCGAGGUGUAGUGCAUGAGAGGGGAAGAAAUGGGCUACAUUCGCUAGCAACUAGCGAAUACGAAUGAUGUGUUGAAAUACACAGCUGAAGGAGGAUUUAGCAGUAAGCAAGAAGCAGAGUGUCUUGCUGAAACCGGCUCUAAAGCGCGCACACACCGCCCGUCACCCUCCCCAAGCUCCCCGGACCAUCUUUAACUAAAGCCCUACAACUGCAAAGGAGAGGAAAGUCGUAACAUGGUAAGCGUACCGGAAGGUGCGCUUGGUAAAAU
rnacentral:rRNA from 1 species